rnacentral:rRNA from 1 species
GAUGAACGCUGGCGGCGUGCUUAACACAUGCAAGUCGAACGAAGCACCUUUUCGGAUCCCUUCGGGGUGAAGAGCUGGUGACUGAGUGGCGGACGGGUGAGUAACGCGUAGGCAACCUGCCCUGUACAGGGGGAUAACAGCCGGAAACGGCUGCUAAUACCGCAUAAGCGCACGAGACGGCAUCGUCUUGUGUGAAAAACUCCGGUGGUACAGGAUGGGCCUGCGUCUGAUUAGCUGGUUGGCGGGGUAAGAGCCCACCAAGGCGACGAUCAGUAGCCGGUCUGAGAGGAUGAACGGCCACAUUGGAACUGAGACACGGUCCAG